rnacentral:rRNA from 1 species
GGAUGGACCCGCGUCUGAUUAGCUAGUUGGUAAGGUAACGGCUUACCAAGGCGACGAUCAGUAGCCGACCUGAGAGGGUGAUCGGCCACAUUGGAACUGAGACACGGUCCAAACUCCUACGGGAGGCAGCAGUAGGGAAUCUUCGGCAAUGGACGAAAGUCUGACCGAGCAACGCCGCGUGAGUGAAGAAGGUUUUCGGAUCGUAAAACUCUGUUGUUAGAGAAGAACAAGGAUGAGAGUAACUGUUCAUCCCUUGACGGUAUCUAACCAGAAAGCCACGGCUAACUACGUGCCAGCAGCCGCGGUAAUACGUAGGUGGCAAGCGUUGUCCGGAUUUAUUGGGCGUAAAGCGAGCGCAGGCGGUUUCUUAAGUCUGAUGUGAAAGCCCCCGGCUCAACCGGGGAGGGUCAUUGGAAACUGGGAGACUUGAGUGCAGAAGAGGAGAGUGGAAUUCCAUGUGUAGCGGUGAAAUGCGUAGGUAUAUGGAGGAACACCAGUGGCGAAGGCGGCUCUCUGG